rnacentral:rRNA from 1 species
CACCGGCAGCCCAAGUGGUAGCCACGAUUAUUGGGUCUAAAGCGUCCGUAGCCGGCCAGGUAAGUUCUUUGGGAAAUUUAACCGCUCAACGGUUAAGCUUUCAGGGAAUACUGCUUGGCUUGGGACCGGGAGAGGUCAGAGGUACUUCAAGGGUAGGGGUGAAAUCCGUUAAUCCUUGAGGGACCACCAGUAGCGAAGGCGUCUGACCAGACCGGGUCCGACGGUGAGGGACGAAGGCUAGGGUCGCGAACCGGAUUAGAUACCCGGGUAGUCCUAGCUGUAAACGAUGCGGGCCAGGUGUUGGCAUUACUGCGAGUGAUGUCAGUGCCGAAGGGAAGCCGUUAAGCCCGCCAUCUGGGGAGUACGGUCGCAAGGCUGAAACUUAAAGGAAUUGGCGGGGAGCACCACAAGGGGUGAAGCCUGCGGUUCAAUUGGACUCAACGCCGGGAAACUACCAGGGAGACAGCAGUAUGACGGUCAGGUUGACGACCUUACCCGACGAGCUGAGAGGAGGUGCAUGGCCGUCGCCAGUUCGUGCCGUGAGGUAUCCUGUUAAGUCAGGCAACGAACGAGAUCCGCACCUUUAUUUGCCAACAAGAAGUCACGACUUCGUUGGGAACACUAAAGGGACCGCCGUCGAUAAGACGGAGGAAGGAGCGGGCAAAGGCAGGUCAGUAUGCCCCGAAACCCCUGGGCUACACGCGGGCUGCAAUGGUAUGAACAAUGGGCUGUGACUCCGAAAGGAGAAACCAAUCCCGAAAUCAUAUCUCAGUUGGAAUUGUCGGCUGUAACCCGCCGAACAUGAAACGUGGAAUACCCUAAGUCAAUCGUGUGUCAUCAUCGCACGGUGAAUACGUCUCUGCUCCUUGUACACACCGCCCGUC